CAUGCAGUCGACGAGUUCUGAUUAUUGAAAGGUGCUUGCAUCUUGAUUUAAUUUUGAACGAGUGGCGGACGGGUGAGUAACACGUGGGUAACCUGCCCUUAAGUGGGGGAUAACAUUUGGAAACAGAUGCUAAUACCGCAUAAAUCCAAGAACCGCAUGGUUCUUGGCUGAAAGAUGGCGUAAGCUAUCGCUUUUGGAUGGACCCGCGGCGUAUUAGCUAGUUGGUGAGGUAACGGCUCACCAAGGCAAUGAUACGUAGCCGAACUGAGAGGUUGAUCGGCCACAUUGGGACUGAGACACGGCCCAAACUCCUACGGGAGGCAGCAGUAGGGAAUCUUCCACAAUGGACGCAAGUCUGAUGGAGCAACGCCGCGUGAGUGAAGAAGGCUUUCGGGUCGUAAAACUCUGUUGUUGGAGAAGAAUGGUCGGCAGAGUAACUGUUGUCGGCGUGACGGUAUCCAACCAGAAAGCCACGGCUAACUACGUGCCAGCAGCCGCGGUAAUACGUAGGUGGCAAGCGUUAUCCGGAUUUAUUGGGCGUAAAGCGAGCGCAGGCGGUUUUUUAAGUCUGAUGUGAAAGCCCUCGGCUUAACCGAGGAAGUGCAUCGGAAACUGGGAAACUUGAGUGCAGAAGAGGACAGUGGAACUCCAUGUGUAGCGGUGAAAUGCGUAGAUAUAUGGAAGAACACCAGUGGCGAAGGCGGCUGUCUGGUCUGUAACUGACGCUGAGGCUCGAAAGCAUGGGUAGCGAACAGGAUUAGAUACCCUGGUAGUCCAUGCCGUAAACGAUGAAUGCUAGGUGUUGGAGGGUUUCCGCCCUUCAGUGCCGCAGCUAACGCAUUAAGCAUUCCGCCUGGGGAGUACGACCGCAAGGUUGAAACUCAAGGAAUUGACGGGGCCCGCACAAGCGGUGGAGCAUGUGGUUUAAUUCGAAGCAACGCGAGAACCU
rnacentral:rRNA from 2 species